AUAUAAUCGAACCCGACCACUGCUGGUCUUCGCUGGACACCAUGAACCACACUGUCCAAACCUUCUUCUCUCCUGUCAACAGCAGCCAGCCCCCCAACUAUGAGAUGCUCAAGGAGGAGCACGAGGUGGCUGUGCCGGGGGCGCCCCACAACCCUGCUCCCCCAACGUCCACCAUGAUCCACAUCCGCAGCGAGACCUCUGUGCCCGACCAUGUUGUCUGGUCCCUGUUCAACACCCUCUUCAUGAACCCCUGCUGCCUGGGCUUCAUAGCAUUCGCCUACUCAGUGAAGUCUAGGGACAGGAAGAUGGUUGGCGACCUGACCAGGGCCCAGGCCUAUGCCUCCACUGCCAAGUGCCUGAACAUCUGGGCCCUGAUUUUGGGCAUCCUCAUGACCAUUCUGCUCAUUAUCAUGCCAGUGUUCAUCAUCCAAGCCCAUCGAUAGAUCAGGAGGCAUCAUUGAGGCCAGGAGCUCUGCCCAUGA